UUUCUGUAUUUUAUAAGUGUUCUAAAAAUUUAUUUAAUUUUUUUUUUAGAAAUAACUCAUAUUUAUCAAAUGGUCAUGAAUUGAGAAAAAAAAACGUCAAUUUUUGCUGUAUAUUUAUUAAUAUUAAAAAAAUUGCACUAUUUACAGUUUUAUAAAAUUUGGUCCACAUAAUCUCCCUGCAAAAUGAAACAAAAUGUCGUUUUAAAAAAUUGGGGUCCAUGCACUCGUUUUCAAAUUAAAUCAGUUUGAAUGAUAAAAUUCAGUCGAAAAAAGCAUCUUUUCCCAAUAUGUCACAGUUUGACGUCGCGAAAAUAUCAUUUUACGUUAGCAACAUCAUUACCUCCCCUGUAACUGUAUCGUAUGCCCUUAA
rnacentral:lncRNA from 1 species